AUUGAACGCUGGCGGCAGGCCUAACACAUGCAAGUCGAGCGGAUGAAGGGAGCUUGCUCCUGGAUUCAGCGGCGGACGGGUGAGUAAUGCCUAGGAAUCUGCCUGGUCGUGGGGGAUAACGUCCGGAAACGGGCGCUAAUACCGCACACGUCCUGAGGGAGAAAGUGGGGGAUCUUCGGACCUCACGCUAUCAGAUGAGCCUAGGUCGGAUUAGCUAGUUGGUGGGGUAAAGGCCUACCAAGGCGACGAUCCGUAACUGGUCUGAGAGGAUGAUCAGUCACACUGGAACUGAGACACGGUCCAGACUCCUACGGGAGGCAGCAGUGGGGAAUAUUGGACAAUGGGCGAAAGCCUGAUCCAGCCAUGCCGCGUGUGUGAAGAAGGUCUUCGGAUUGUAAAGCACUUUAAGUUGGGAGGAAGGGCAGUAAGUUAAUACCUUGCUGUUUUGACGUUACCAACAGAAUAAGCACCGGCUAACUUCGUG
rnacentral:rRNA from 1 species